AUUGAACGCUGGCGGCAGGCCUAACACAUGCAAGUCGAGCGGAUGAAGGGAGCUUGCUCCUGGAUUCAGCGGCGGACGGGUGAGUAAUGCCUAGGAAUCUGCCUGGUAGUGGGGGAUAACGUCCGGAAACGGGCGCUAAUACCGCAUACGUCCUGAGGGAGAAAGUGGGGGAUCUUCGGACCUCACGCUAUCAGAUGAGCCUAGGUCGGAUUAGCUAGUUGGUGGGGUAAAGGCCUACCAAGGCGACGAUCCGUAACUGGUCUGAGAGGAUGAUCAGUCACACUGGAACUGAGACACGGUCCAGACUCCUACGGGAGGCAGCAGUGGGGAAUAUUGGACAAUGGGCGAAAGCCUGAUCCAGCCACGCCGCGUAUGUGAAGAAGGUCUUCGGAUUGUAAAGCACUUUAAGUUGGGAGGAAGGGCAGUAAGUUAAUACCUUGCUGUUUUGACGUUACCAACAGAAUAAGCACCGGCUAACUUCGUG
rnacentral:rRNA from 1 species